GAUAAACGCUAGCGGCAGACUUAACACAUGCGAGUCGAGGGGCAGCAUAGACUGUAGCAAUACAAUUGGUGGCGACCGGCGCACGGGUGCGUAACGCGUAUGCAACCUACCCGUCACAGGGGGAUAAUCCGGAGAAAUCUGGUCUAAUACCCCAUAACAUAUGGAUCGGCAUCGGUUCAUGUUGAAAUUUUCGGAGGUGACGGAUGGGCAUGCGUAGCAUUAGCUUGUUGGUGAGGUAACGGCUCACCAAGGCGACGAUGCUUAGGGGGACUGAGAGGGUUGCCCCCCACACUGGUACUGAGACACGGACCAGACUCCCGCGGGAGGCAGCAGUGAGGAAUAUUGGUCAAUGGGCGCAAGCCUGAACCAGCCAUGCCGCGUGCAGGAUGACGGCUCUAUGAGUUGUAAACUGCUUUUGUACGAGGGUAAAGUGGGUUACGUGUAACCUUUUGGAAGUAUCGUACGAAUAAGGAUCGGCUAACUCCGUGCCAGCCGCCGCGGUAA
rnacentral:rRNA from 1 species